GACAGGUGUGAGGUGGUAUCUCAUUGUGGUUUUGAUUUGUAUUUCCCUUAUGAUGAGUGAUGUUGAGCAUCUUUUCAUAUGUCUGUUAGCCACAUUGAUGUCUUCUAUGGAAAAAUGUCUAUUCAUGUUUUCUGCCCAUUU